UACGUAGGGGGCAAGCGUUGUCCGGAAUCAUUGGGCGUAAAGCGCGUGUAGGCGGCCAGAAAAGUCCGCUGUGAAAACUCGAGGCUCAACUUCGAGCUGUCGGUGGAAACUUUCUGGCUAGAGUCCGGAAGAGGAGAAUGGAAUCCUGGUGUAGCGGUGAAUGACGCAGAUAUCAGGAAGAACACCGUGGCGAAGGCGGUUCUCUGGACGGUACUGACUCUGAGACGCGAAAGCGUGGGAGGCGAACAGGAUA
rnacentral:rRNA from 1 species